UACGGGGGGCAAGCGUUGUUCGGAAUUACUGGGCGUAAAGGGCUCGUAGGUGGCCAACUAAGUCAGACGUGAAAUCCCCUCGGCUUAACCGGGGGAACUGCGUCUGAUACUGGAUGGCUUGAGUUCGGGAGAGGGAUGCGGAAUUCCAGGUGUAGCGGUGAAAUGCGUAGAUAUCUGGAGGAACACCGGUGGCGAAGGCGGCAUCCUGGACCGACACUGACGCUGAGGAGCGAAAAGCCAGGGGGAGCAGACGGGG
rnacentral:rRNA from 1 species